AAGUUGGGCAUUAGGAAAAAUUUCUUCACCAAAAGGAUUGUCAAGCAUUGAAACAGGCUGCCAAGGGAAGUGAUAGAGUCCCCAUCCAUGGAGAUAUUUAAAAGAUGUGUAGAUGUGGUGCUUAGGGACAUGGUAGUAGACUUGGCAGUGCUCUGUUAUGGCUGAACUUGAUGAUCUUAAGGGUCUUUUCCAAUCUAAAUGAUUUUAUGAUUCUAUGAUGCUAAUUCCUCUGU